rnacentral:rRNA from 1 species
UACGUAGGGUGCAAGCGUUGUCCGGAAUUAUUGGGCGUAAAGAGCUCGUAGGCGGUGUGUCGCGUCGGCCGUGAAAACCUGCAGCUUAACUGUGGGCUUGCGGUCGAUACGGGCAUCACUGGAGUUCGGCAGGGGAGACUGGAAUUCCUGGUGUAGCGGUGAAAUGCGCAGAUAUCAGGAGGAACACCGGUGGCGAAGGCGGGUCUCUGGGCCGAUACUGACGCUGAGGAGCGAAAGCGUGGGGAGCGAUCCGG